rnacentral:rRNA from 1 species
AUUGAACGCUGGCGGCAGGCCUAACACAUGCAAGUCGAGCGGAUGAAGGGAGCUUGCUCCUGGAUUCAGCGGCGGACGGGUGAGUAAUGCCUAGGAAUCUGCCUGGUAGUGGGGGAUAACGUCCGGAAACGGGCGCUAAUACCGCAUACGUCCUGAGGGAGAAAGUGGGGGAUCUUCGGACCUCACGCUCUCAGAUGAGCCUAGGUCGGAUUAGCUAGUUGGUGGGGUAAAGGCCUACCAAGGCGACGAUCCGUAACUGGUCUGAGAGGAUGAUCAGUCACACUGGAACUGAGACACGGACCAGACUCCUACGGGAGGCAGCAGUGGGGAAUAUUGGACAAUGGGCGAGAGCCUGAUCCAGCCAUGCCGCGUGUGUGAAGAAGGUCUUCGGAUUGUAAAGCACUUUAAGUUGGGAGGAAGGGCAGUAAGUUAAUACCUUGCUGUUGUGACGUUACCAACAGAAUAAGCACCGGCUAACUUCGUG